rnacentral:rRNA from 1 species
UGCAAGUCGAGCGGGCAGAUGGGAGCUUGCUCCCUGAUGUUAGCGGCGGACGGGUGAGUAACACGUGGGUAACCUGCCUGUAAGACUGGGAUAACUCCGGGAAACCGGGGCUAAUACCGGAUGGUUGUUUGAACCGCAUGGUUCAGACAUAAAAGGUGGCUUCGGCUACCACUUACAGAUGGACCCGCGGCGCAUUAGCUAGUUGGUGAGGUAACGGCUCACCAAGGCAACGAUGCGUAGCCGACCUGAGAGGGUGAUCGGCCACACUGGGACUGAGACACGGCCCAGACUCCUACGGGAGGCAGCAGUAGGGAAUCUUCCGCAAUGGACGAAAGUCUGACGGAGCAACGCCGCGUGAGUGAUGAAGGUUUUCGGAUCGUAAAGCUCUGUUGUUAGGGAAGAACAAGUGCCGUUCAAAUAGGGCGGCACCUUGACGGUACCUAACCAGAAAGCCACGGCUAACUACGUGCCAGCAGCCGCGGUAAUACGUAGGUGGCAAGCGUUGUCCGGAAUUAUUGGGCGUAAAGGGCUCGCAGGCGGUUUCUUAAGUCUGAUGUGAAAGCCCCCGGCUCAACCGGGGAGGGUCAUUGGAAACUGGGGAACUUGAGUGCAGAAGAGGAGAGUGGAAUUCCACGUGUAGCGGUGAAAUGCGUAGAGAUGUGGAGGAACACCAGUGGCGAAGGCGACUCUCUGGUCUGUAACUGACGCUGAGGAGCGAAAGCGUGGGGAGCGAACAGGAUUAGAUACCCUGGUAGUCCACGCCGUAAACGAUGAGUGCUAAGUGUUAGGGGGUUUCCGCCCCUUAGUGCUGCAGCUAACGCAUUAAGCACUCCGCCUGGGGAGUACGGUCGCAA